UACGGAAGGCAGCAGUGGGGAAGUAUUGCACAAUGGGCGCAAGCCUGAUGCAGCCAUGCCGCGUGUAUGAAGAAGGCCUUCGGGUUGUAAAGUACUUUCAGUCGUGAGGAAGGUGUUAAGGUUAAUAACCUUAGCAAUUGACGUUAGCGACAGAAGAAGCACCGGCUAACUCCGUGCCAGCAGCCGCGGUAAUACGGAGGGUGCGAGCGUUAAUCGGAAUUACUGGGCGUAAAGGGCACGCAGGCGGUUAAUUAAGUUGGAUGUGAAAUCCCCGGGCUUAACCUGGGAAUGGCAUUCAAGACUGGUUAGCUAGAGUCUUGUAGAGGGGGUAGAAUUCCAUGUGUAGCGGUGAAAUGCGUAGAGAUGUGGAGGAAUACCGGUGGCGAAGGCGGCCCCUGGACAAAGACUGACGCUCAUGUGCGAAAGCGUGGGGAGCAAAC
rnacentral:rRNA from 1 species